GAUGAAGAACGUAGCGAAAUGCGAUAAGUAGUGUGAAUUGCAGAAUUCAGUGAAUCAUCGAAUCUUUGAACGCACAUUGCGCCCCUUGGUAUUCCAUGGGGCAUGCCUGUUCGAGCGUCAUUUGUACCUUCAAGCUCUGCUUGGUGUUGGGUGUUUGUCUCGCCUCUGCGUGUAGACUCGCCUCAAAACAAUUGGCAGCCGGCGUAUUGAUUUCGGAGCGCGGUACAUCUCGCGCUUUGCACUCAUAACGACGACGUCCAAAAGUACAUUUUACACUCUUGACCUCGGAUCAGGUAGGGAUACCCGCUGAACUUAAGCAUAUCAAUAAGCGGAGGA
rnacentral:misc_RNA from 1 species